rnacentral:rRNA from 1 species
UGGGGAAUCUUGCACAAUGGGGGCAACCCUGAUGCAGCGACGCCGCGUGAGCGAUGAAGCCCUUCGGGGCGUAAAGCUCUUUUGGCAGGAAAGAAACGGCGCCGGCUAAUAUCUGGCGUAACUGACGGUACCUGCAGAAUAAGCACCGGCUAACUACGUGCCAGCAGCCGCGGUAAUACGUAGGGUGCAAGCGUUAAUCGGAAUUACUGGGCGUAAAGCGUGCGCAGGCGGUUCGGAAAGAAAGAUGUGAAAUCCCAGGGCUCAACCUUGGAACUGCAUUUUUAACUCCCGAACUAGAGUGUGUCAGAGGGGGGUGGAAUUCCACGUGUAGCAGUGAAAUGCGUAGAUAUGUGGAGGAACACCGAUGGCGAAGGCAGCCCCCUGGGAUAACACUGACGCUCAUGCACGAAAGCGUGGGGAGCAAACA